rnacentral:rRNA from 1 species
AGAGUUUGAUUAUGGCUCAGGAUGAACGCUAGCUACAGGCUUAACACAUGCGAAGUCGAGGGGCAGCAUGGGAUUAGCUUGCUAAUCUUGAUGGCGACCGGCGCACGGGUGAGUAACGCGUAUCCAACCUUCCCCCUACUCAGGCAUAGCCCGGUGAAAACCGGAUUAACUCCUGAUAGUUUCACUAGAUGGCAUCUGACGGUGAAUAAAGCUUUGCGGUAAGGGAUGGGGAUGCGUCUGAUUAGCUUGUUGGCGGGGUAACGGCCCACCAAGGCGACGAUCAGUAGGGGUUCUGAGAGGAAGGUCCCCCACAUUGGAACUGAGACACGGUCCAAACUCCUACGGGAGGCAGCAGUGAGGAAUAUUGGUCAAUGGGCGCGAGCCUGAACCAGCCAAGUAGCGUGCAGGAAGACGGCCCUAUGGGUUGUAAACUGCUUUUGUGCGGGAAUAAAGUCAGGGACGUGUCCCUGUUUGCAUGUACCGCAAGAAUAAGGACCGGCUAAUUCCGUGCCAGCCGCUGC